CCUACGGGGGGCAGCAGUGAGGAAUAUUGGUCAAUGGGCGAGAGCCUGAACCAGCCAAGUCGCGUGAGUGAAGAAGUAUUUCGGUAUGUAAAGCUCUAUCAGCAGGGAAGAAAAUGACGGUACCUGACUAAGAAGCCCCGGCUAACUACGUGCCAGCAGCCGCGGUAAUACGUAGGGGACAAGCGUUAUCCGGAUUUACUGGGUGUAAAGGGAGCGUAGACGGCAGCGCAAGUCUGAAGUGAAAUCCCAUGGCUUAACCAUGGAACUGCUUUGGAAACUGUGCAGCUGGAGUGCAGGAGAGGUAAGCGGAAUUCCUAGUGUAGCGGUGAAAUGCGUAGAUAUUAGGAGGAACACCAGUGGCGAAGGCGGCUUACUGGACUGUAACUGACGUUGAGGCUCGAAAGCGUGGGGAGCAAACAGGAUUAGAUACCCUAGUAGUC
rnacentral:rRNA from 1 species